UCUUUAAUUUUCGUCUUCAGCUGACACUCAACAUUUCUACCUACAGAGUGGCCACAAAGUUUGGAAAUAGAAGUGGCUUGGUUUGACCAUCUUAAGUGAUCACCAGUUAGCGUGCGCUCUUGACAGGCAAGGGAAGGUCACUCUGAGACCAACCACCACAUGACCCCAGAGUGGAGAUACUGGUAGGAUGAUAAUUUCUAAAACUGGAUGUGAUGACGUAGGCCUGUGGAGUAUGCUGAAUGCUGGCCAGCUAGAACACUCUUUCGUAUGGAUGCCAGAAAAAUUUGGGACACAGGAUGAAAAGUUCAAUUUGAAUGUCGGAUAAGCAACAAAUACUUUUUUAGUUUAAGUAUGCAUAGGGAUACUUACAUAUUCCUUGCAUAAGUGGGAUACAUACAUGGGACAUACCUACAAGGGACGAUUAUACUAAAAACUUGUUUUUUAUCUGAAAUUCAAAUUUAACCGAUGUCCUCCUAUAUUUUUAUUUGCUAAAUCUGGCAACUCUAUGCUUGAGGUAUGCUGAAAGGGCACGGUUUUUUUGUUUUCCUUUUUCUUCAGCGAAAAUCAGACACAAAUAACCUAAGCCUGUGGUUCUCGAACUUUAGCUUGUAUCACAAUCACCUGCAGGGCUUGUUAAAACAUAGACUAUUGACGAUUGAGUCUCUGAUUCAGUGGAUCUGGGGUAGGGCCCUGGAAAUGUUCAUUUUUAACAUUCCUAAGGCAGGCAUUGCUGAUUCUGCUGAUUCCAGGGAUCACAUCUGAGAACUACUGAUGGGAGGUGAGGCAUUACAGAUGUAUGUGCAAGGAUUGCUGGAAAUGCUGUGUUAAUGUAUCCUGUUUGUUGCCAUUCUGCCCAGCACACUAGUUUAUGCAUCACUAACAAGGGACAACACAUCAAACAUAUCAUGCAUUGUCACAUAAUAUCAAUAAAUCACUUAUUAUGUAUAUUUGCCUCUGUUUCCAGACUGUAUGGCCACUCCGUAGGAAUGUGAUGACGACCAGGCAGAGGGUCCAUACUGAUAGUCAUCAUCAAUGACAACUGUCUGCAUCAAUGACAUGGCAACUUCCUCUCCAGAGUCAUGGUGGCAAGACACAAAUGACUCUAUUUCAUUUGAUGGUCCCCCUAUACUGACCCAAUCAGCAGGAAGUAGUCAGAAAGACAAGGAUGACCCUGUUCCUCUUAUAGCAUAUGAUUAUGUUGGGUUACAAUUGACAGUGAGGAGUUGUCGGCGCCACUCACAUGAACAGUCAUCUUUCCUAUACAUAUUAAAGAUUUUGUUCUUGUUAUCUUUAAACGAAAUCAGGUAUAAGGCAUUGCUCUGGUCUCUGAUGCUUAUCCAGUAAAACAGAAGAUUAUCAGGAACUGAGACCAGAUGUCUGCCCCACCUGGAGACCAGCCUCUUAUAUAACUGGCUUGUAGUCUUUGUUCUGUGAGAUGGUUUUUCCAGACAUUAGUCAGCCAUCUUCCCCCUUGCUGGCAAGCUGUAAUAAAACCCUUUCUCUCCUACCACCUUGCUUCUCCACUAUUGGUGUGUCUUGAGGCUGGCAGAUGACCCACCCUGGGCAGUAACAAAUUGAAUUUCCACACCAUGACUUUUUCCAGGGACCCGAUUUUCUUGGAGGAAGAUAAAAGAGGGAUACGCUUGUGCUUUCCAUAAAACUGAAACGUACUGAAAUGUUUUAAAGUAAAUUUAAAAUUGACAUUUUAUAUUUUUACUAUCAC
rnacentral:lncRNA from 1 species